UCAGCCCUAGUCCAUACUGGCUCCAUCGGUUUCUUUUUAUAUGAUCAAGUUGGAGAGUACAAACACAACAGUGCGGAGGAAGCCCCUCUCUAACACACACACACACACACAGACAGGACAAAGGCAGUUGGAUUGAGAUAGGAGCCCAGGCUGGGUGCAAGAGAACCGCUUGACAAUCCCAAACAGGGCAGCAGGAAACAAGACUGCACGGCACAACCAAGAGUCUUCCUGUCUCACACACACACACACACACACACACACAUACACACACACGCACCUUAAGAGAGUUUUACCACAGGAACGUCCAGGAAAAUCCAUCAAAAUGAAAAUCUGAAAGCUCCCAGACACAAUCAAAUGUGCAGUUCGUCCAAACACUGUGGCUGGUGCAUCCGGAGCACAGCGCAGCUGUGUGUAAGACAUCCCGCCGCAGGAAAACAGCAGCGCAGAUGGGCCUGCCCCACGAUCAGAGCCGAGGCGAGCAGUAUACUGCUGCUAAACCUGGCCCAAAACACACGCUUUUACACUUAACAGACAUUAUCACAAUUCAGUCCGCCAAACGAAAUCACGGAGAACCCAGGGGCUAAAGACGCACGCAUUUCGAGGCUGCAGAAUCCAAAGUUGUUAUACUUUACGCAAAUGUCAAAAUAAGUAAACCAUACAUAAUGUGCACCAGUUAUUUUCCACCAAGAAAACUAAAAAUAAACUGCUUCAUAAGUG